rnacentral:rRNA from 1 species
AAUGAACGUUGGCGGCGUGGAUUAGGCAUGCAAGUCGAGCGAGAACCGGAGCAAUCCGGGGAAAGCGGCAAACGGGGUAGUAAUGCAUCGGUACGUGCCCUCGGGUCGGGGAUAGCCAGGGGAAACCCUGAUUAAUACCCGAUAAUCUCGAGAGGGCAAAGGUUUACUGCCGGAGGAGCGGCCGAUGUGGCAUCAGGUAGUUGGCGGGGUAACGGCCCACCAAGCCUUAGACGCCUAGGGGGCGUGAGAGCGCGACCCCCACCACUGGGACUGAGAUACUGCCCAGACACCUACGGGUGGCUGCAGUCGAGAAUCUUCCGCAAUGGGCGAAAGCCUGACGGAGCGACGCCGCGUGCGGGAUGAAGGCCCUUGGGUUGUAAACCGCUGUCAGGGGGGAUGAAAGCCGCAAGGCUAGACAGAGCCCCAGAGGAAGCACGGGCUAAGUUCGUGCCAGCAGCCGCGGUAAGACGAACUGUGCGAACGUUAUUCGGAAUCACUGGGCUUACAGGGUGCGUAGGC